UCCUACGGGGCGCAGCAGUGGGGAAUAUUGCACAAUGGGGGAAACCCUGAUGCAGCGACGCCGCGUGAGCGAAGAAGUACCUCGGUAUGUAAAGCUCUAUCAGCAGGGAAGAAGAUGACGGUACCUGACCAAGAAGCUCCGGCUAAAUACGUGCCAGCAGCCGCGGUAAUACGUAUGGAGCAAGCGUUAUCCGGAUUUACUGGGUGUAAAGGGAGCGCAGGCGGCCUUGCAAGUCUGAUGUGAA
rnacentral:rRNA from 1 species